GAUGAACGCUGGCGGCGUGCCUAAUACAUGCAAGUCGAGCGAACAGACGAGGAGCUUGCUCCUCUGACGUUAGCGGCGGACGGGUGAGGAACACGUGGAUAACCUACCUAUAAGACUGGGAUAACUUCGGGAAACCGGAGCUAAUACCGGAUAAUAUAUUGAACCGCAUGGUUCAAUAGUGAAAGACGGUUUUGCUGUCACUUAUAGAUGGAUCCGCGCCGCAUUAGCUAGUUGGUAAGGUAACGGCUUACCAAGGCAACGAUGCGUAGCCGACCUGAGAGGGUGAUCGGCCACACUGGAACUGAGACACGGUCCAGACUCCUACGGGAGGCAGCAGUAGGGAAUCUUCCGCAAUGGGCGAAAGCCUGACGGAGCAACGCCGCGUGAGUGAUGAAGGUCUUCGGAUCGUAAAACUCUGUUAUUAGGGAAGAACAAAUGUGUAAGUAGCUAUGCACGUCUUGACGGUACCUAAUCAGAAAGCCACGGCUAACUACGUG
rnacentral:rRNA from 1 species